rnacentral:rRNA from 1 species
UAUUCAUUUGGCUAUGUUUGAUUGGUUUUAGGUUGGGGUGACCACGGAGCAUAAAAUAACCUCCACGAAGAAGAGACUAAUAAUCUUUAUCAAAGAAGUACACUUCUAAGAAUUAACAAAUUAAUUUCCAAUGAUCCGAUAUUCGAUCAACGAACCAAGUUACCCUGGGGAUAACAGCGCAAUCCACCUCAAGAGCUCCUAUCGACAGGUGGGUUUACGACCUCGAUGUUGGAUCAGGAUAUCCCAGUGGUGUAGCAGCUACUAAAGGUUCGUUUGUUCAACGAUUAAAAUCCU